GUGUCAGCAGCCGCGGUAAUACGUAGGGUGCGAGCGUUAAUCGGAAUUACUGGGCGUAAAGCGUGCGCAGGCGGUCUUGCAAGACAGGUGUGAAAUCCCCGGGCUCAACCUGGGAACUGCACUUGUGACUGCAAGGCUCGAGUACGGCAGAGGGGGAUGGAAUUCCGCGUGUAGCAGUGAAAUGCGUAGAUAUGCGGAGGAACACCGAUGGCGAAGGCAAUCCCCUGGGCCUGUACUGACGCUCAUGCACGAAAGCGUGGGGAGCAAACAGGAUUAGAUACCCCCGUAGUCC
rnacentral:rRNA from 1 species